rnacentral:rRNA from 1 species
AUUGAACGCUGGCGGAAUGCUUAACACAUGCAAGUCGAGCGGGGUGUAGCAAUACACCUAGCGGCGGACGGGUGAGGAAUACAUAGGAAUCUGCCUCAGAGCGGGGGACAGCCCGGGGAAACCCGGAUUAAUACCGCAUGAUGUCGCAAGACCAAAGUGGGGGACCGCAAGGCCCCACACUCUGAGAUGAGCCUAUGUCCGAUUAGCUAGUUGGCGGGGUAAUAGCCCA